CUUUUUUUGAGACAGUGUCUCACUCUGUUGUCAGGCUGGAGUGCAGUGGCACAAUCUCAGCUCACAGCAACCUCCACCUCCCGGGUUCAAGCGAUUCUCCUGCCUCAGCCUCCUGAGCUGCUGGGAUUACAGGCGUGUGUUACCACACCCAGCUAAUUUUUGUAUUUUUAGUAGAGACGGGGUUUCACCAUGUCGGCCAGGAUGGUCUGGAUCUCGAGUGACCUCGUGGUCCGCCCACCUCGGCCUCCCAAAGUGCUGGGAUUACAGGUGUGAGCCACUGCGCCCAGUCUGUGCUGAACAUUUAACACAGCUGACAUUGCAUUUUUUCUUUUUUUUUUUUUUUUGAGACAGGGUCUCACUGUGUUGUGCAGGCUGGAGAGCAGUGGUACAAUCAGGGCUCACAGCAGCCUCCACCUCCUGGGCUCAAGCGAUCCUCCUGCCUCAGCCUCCCAAACUGCUGGGAUUACAGGUGACAGUUGCUGCUCGGGGCCAGUGGUGGUAUUUCUCUCCCCACAAUCCCACAGGCAAGGCCCCACAGUCAGCCUGAGGGUCAAAUACGACCUGCUGCCUGCUUUUGUAAAUAAAGCUUUAUCGGAACAUAACCACAUCAGUCCGCUGACAUGUGGCCUGUGGCAGCUUCCGACCAGAACCGUAGAGCUGAAUGUCAGGAUGGAGGCUGCCACGCAAAGCUGAAAUGUUCACUAUCUGGCCCCUUACAGAAGAAGGCUGUCAGCCCUGCUGCCGGCUCUGGGGUGGGUUCGAUUCCCUGCCCCAGUGAGGAGCCUGAGGCCUUACUACGUGCCACUCGUGUGCUGGUAGUGUGACACACACUCCCGUGGAGGGCACCAGGGAGUGGCCAGGGAGCACCGUGGCCAGCGUGGGGGCCGCUGCAGGACCCUGGGUGGGCUGCUUAACCCCCUGGCCUCACUCCCCCCAUCAGUUCCCGGCCAGGCCUCAUGCUAGUGGCCUGUUACUUCCUCUGGGACAUAUAGGGAAACUGAGGCUCAGGGCAGCCCCAUGGUCUGGCCAAGGGUCCCAGAGAGGAAGUGGCCAACCUCAGGGCUUACGCUUUUCCCUUCUGGGAGCUCAGCUUCAUGGUGAGGAGGGCAGCCUUCCCUCCGGCAUGACCUGGGCACACGACUUCACCUUUCUGUGGGCCACCUGUGGUAGGUGCCGGGGAAGUGCUAAGCCAGCAUGCAGUAGGUGCUCAGUAAAUGCAGGGUUGGUGUGCAGCAGGUGCUCAGUAAUGCAGGGCUGGUACACAGUAGGUGCUCAGUGAUGCUGGGCCAGAAUGCAAUAGGUGCUCAGUAAAUGUGGGGCUGGUGUGCAAUAGGUACUCAGUAAUGCUGGGGCGGUGUGCAGUGGGUGCUCAGUAAAUGCUGGGCCAGUAAGCAAUAGGUGCUUAGUAAACGUGGGGUCGGUGUGCAGUGGGUGCUCAGUAAUACAGGGCCGGUGUAGAGUAGGUGCUCAGUGAAUGCAGGGCCAGUACACGGUAGGUACUCAGUAAUGCUGGGGCGGUGUGCAGUGGGAGUGAAGUAAAUGCUGGGCCAGCAUGCAAUAGGUGCUCAGUAAAUGUAGGGUCAGUGUGCAGUGGGUGCUCAGUAAUACAGGGCUGGUGUACAGUAGGUGCUUAGUGAAUGCAGGGCUGGUACAUAGUAGGUGCUCAGCAAAUGUGGGGCCAGUGUGCAGUGGGUGCUCAGUAAUGCUGGGUCUGUGUACAGUGGGUGCUCAGUAAAUGCUGGGCCAGCAUGCAAUAGGUGCUCAGUAAAUGUGGGGCCGGGGCAGGUUGGUGUGCAGCAGGUGCUCAGUAAUGCAGGACUAGUGCACAGUAGGUGCUCAGUAAUGCUGGGGUUGUGUGCAGUGGGUGCUCACUAAAUGCUGGGCCAGGAUGCAAUAGGUGCUCAGUAAAUGUGGGGCCAGUGUGCAGUAGGUGCUCAGUAAAUGUGGGGCUGGUGUGCAGUAGGUACUCAGUAAUGCUGGGCUGGUGUGCAGUAGGUACUCAGUAAUGCAGGGCCAGUAUGCAGUAGGUGCUCAGUAAUGCUGGGCUGGUGUGCAGUAGGUGCUCAGUAAUGCUGGGCCGGUGCACGGUGGGUGCCUGGUGAACACGUGCCUCCCUGGUCAUCACUGCUGCUCAGUUCAGGGCUUAGGGAUGGACGUGCCAUCUCAGCGAGCUCGAGGGUCAAAGCUCUGCUAUGGAGGAGGAAACUGAGGCCCAGAGGCAGGAGGGCAGCGACCUGCAAUUCAACUCUAGGCCCAUCUGGCUGUACGCUCCUUUUCCCUCCCAAGUAGUAAAGGCCCCAUUUGUUGGCCCUUAUAAUCCGCUGGGCGCUUUUACCAUCCAUGAGGUCAUCCCCAAAAUGCGCUGGGGGCAGUCGCAGUGUCAGCGCGGCGGCCCGAGCUCCCAUCACGCCUGACCUCUCCGCAUGACCCAGCAGGAGCCGCACCGGGGCCCCUCUCAUCAGGAUCUGCUGUGAGGCCGGGCAGGCUGCUGCCGCCUCACAGAUCACACCCCAAACCUAGAGGCCCAAAACCAACAAGCAUUUACUAUUGACACAGCGUCUCGGCGGCGGCUUUGCUGCGAGGCUCUGGCUUGGGGUCUCUUAGGAGGUUGCCGUGGCCACACUCCCCCGGGGCUCGACGCGAGGCGGCCCAGUCCCCCGCAGGGGAACCCGCGCGGCUCUUGGCAGCGGCUGCAGGUGCUCCCUGGGAGCUGCGCGAGCGACCCCACCGCAUGGCGGCUGCCCAGCCGAGCCAGCAACCCACCCAGGAGGGAGGGGGACACCACGAUGUCCUUCGUGACCCGCCUCGGAGGCCACACUCUGUCCGUUGCUUCUGCAGUCCCGUUCCGGCUGUGCAGGGGGAAGGGACGGCACCAGGCCGUGAACCCCGGGAGCCGAGGCUUGCAGGGGCAUCUCGAAGGCUGGCGACGGCAGCGCUGCUCCGCGGAUCCCUCCGCCACUUCUCCACCCGCCACUUCUCCACCCCGCCGAGGGUGAGCCUCUGGGCCUUGCUUUGCCCCCUGAAACGUGCGAGGGGGCGUGGCCCACUUUCAGCGGGAAUGUUAAGAGCCAUCGUGCUACUUCUCAGUCCACUUCUCUGUGGUCAUGAUUGCAGGUGCGUGUCAAGAUCAGACAAGCCCUUGGUGGGGGGUGGGUGGGGGUGCCGUGGCUCCUGCCUGUGAGCCCAGCACUUUGGGAGGCCGAGGCAGGAGGAUUGCUUGAGUCCAGGAGUUCGAAACCAGCCUGGGCAACAUAGUGAGAUCCUGUCUCUACAAAAAUUUAAAAAUCAGCCAGGUGUGGUGACGUGCGUCUGUGGUCCCGGGUACUUGGGAGGCUGAGGUGGGAGGAUCCCUUGAGCCCAGGCGGUCGAGGCUGCAGUGAGCUGGGAUUGCACCACUGCACUGCAGGCUGCGUGACAGCAAGAC
rnacentral:lncRNA from 1 species